UUUCUCUGGGUCUGUAGGAUACAGGCUAUUUAUUUUGAUCUGAAAGUGACCAGCAGUAUUUUAUGCAUUUGUUCCAGAUGUUGCACCCAAAAGGGCUAACCUAGCCCGUGGACAACAGUGUCAUCUCGGCUCCCGAAGUGGGGAUAGAACCUUCGCCCGCUGGAGGACAGUGGAUGCUGCAGAGAUUUGUGGGGCCUGUUUGACGGUAACAGGAGGUGAAUGGCCACAAAGGCAAUGGACCUUUACUCUCACACCGCUAGCGGACGUCCAUAUGCUGCUGGAUCCAUCUGACCUGCUGCCCAAACUCCACAGAUUCGGCACCAUCUCCGGGGGGACACAGUGGACACAGAGCCCGAGGAGGGUCCUGGCCAGUCUACUCUGAGGUGUUACACUAGGGUAUGAGGGUCUGAUCUUACUGGUGUGAGGGGCGGUGGACCAGCCAAGCUGGUGUCCCUGCCUCCCUCUGCUGGGUUCUCACUGGCAGCUUCACUCAGAAUCACAGGUGGCCUCACCCAUCCUUUAGGCAGGAUCUUGAACUUGAGCACAGGGACGUUCUGAGAGUCGUGAGUCUG
rnacentral:lncRNA from 1 species